CUUUAAAAUUGUUAAAACUCUGUACAUUUUGAGACAUAUACACAUGUUGAUUUGAAACCACUGUAUCCAGUCAAUUUGACUCAGACAUUUCCUCAAGACUUAACAAAAUUGUCCUUUUCUUUCUUGCUUGCUUUUUUAUAUUGCUCAUACUAAGGAAAAAACCCUGAUGUUGUACAUAACAUUGAAAUUAUUGAUUUCAGCCCAGAGAAGCAAGGAAAUUCAGAAUUAAGCAACAGUCUCUGAGAAAACAUUCAUACAACAAUCUGGUUGUUUUAUUGUCUGAAUCUGUCAGGACAGUCAUUUUGUUACUCAAACUUUGUGAUCCCCUUGCAAGCUGUAAACUGUUUAAUGAGACCUUCUGAAUC
rnacentral:lncRNA from 1 species